rnacentral:rRNA from 1 species
GAUGAACGCUGGCGGCGUGCCUAAUACAUGCAAGUCGAACGAAAAGACAAUGAGAGCUUGCUUCUGACGGUGGCGGGUGACGGGUGAGUAACGCGUGGAUAACCAACCUAUAAUUCGUGGAGAAUUACGGAAGACAGGAUAUGAUACCAGCGAAUAUGUUGAACGGGAGGGAGCAAUGGUGAUUGGCGGCUUUCGUGUCUGUUUUAGAUGGAUCCGGGCCGGAUUAGCGAGUUGGUAAGGUAAAGGCUUACCAAGGCGACGAUGCGUAGCCGAGCUGAGAGGAUGAUCGGCCACACUGGAACUGAGACACGGUCCAGACUCCUACGGGAGGCAGCAGUAGGGAAUCUUCGGCAAUGGGCGCAAGCCUGACGGAGCCAUGCCGCGUGAGUGAAGAAGGCCUUCGGAUCGUAAAGCUCUGUUGUUGGGGAAGAACAACUGCGUAUGUAUACCUGGCUGUACUGACGGUACCUAAUGAAUAAGCACCGGCUAACUACGUG